UUUUUUUUUUUUUUUUUUGCUGCUUCCACAGACACAUUUUGCAACCUUUUGAAAAGGUUUCGUGGUGGCUCCCCUUCCAAGACAAGGGAUUCAAUCACAGCUCUCUGUUCUGAUGGGCAUCCAAUCGUGAUGUCAUUUCCAAAAUGGCCGACAGGAAGAGGACAGGCUGACACACAACUUUCACACACAUACACCUUCCAACAGUUAUUUCAACUACAAACUGUGAACAUUUCUGAAAAGAAAUUCACUUAUUAGUCGUGUUCAAUGACAUAGGACUCAUUGCUUCUUGACUGCCUCUUGCAUAAGGAGUCAUCAUUUCAAUGGAUAUGUCUGACCUUGCUUUCACGUCGUUCGUCGCAUCCUGUUUUGCCACUUGCCAUUUCUAAGCCACUCGGCCAGUUCCAUGCAACGCGCACGCCAAAUGACGUGCAGUGGGGUCGAAGGGUUACGCAUGGCAGAUGACAACAGGUGCAUUUUCGAGACCCGCAAAGGUGUGCGCAUGCGCUCCAUCCGGAUCAUUGUUGUGAUGCGCCCCCAAACCAAAGCCCGAGACCCCUUUGGGUGGCGCGGUGGCGACUUACUCAGCGUAUCCGGUGGCCCACGGUAAUCUCCUGGUCUCCUUUAGAAUGAGGAUGGGCCUGGCGAUGUGAUCCGCGGAGCACUCGAUCUCAUCCGGGGAGAGUCCGAGGAACUCCGGCCUCAUGUAGGGGAAUUUGAGCGGCAGGUCCGAGCCGGGGCCGCCGCCUCCGCCGGGGCCGCCGCCGGCCAUGAUUCCGCCCAUGAAGCCGGCCACGGCGGAUUUAACCCGGCAACACGUACUCAUCCCUCUAGCUCCACCCCCAAGAUGAAGACAUUUACCACCGAGUUUGUCUUUCCCUCCCCGCUGCAUCACAUCACCAGUUGGAUGACAUCAGCAUCCCACGUCGCACAAAUAAAAGAGCGGGAGCCGUGUAAAAACAAGUCCGGAGAAGAAUCUGUUGUGGAGAUGAUCCUGUGCGCUGCCUUGCUGCUGUGGCACUCCGGUUUCGGUCUCUGUGGAGCUGCUGCACAACUCAUGGAGGUGGAAAGGAUCGAGACAUGCGGCACCAAGUGCUCUCAGGGCCUUCAGUGCAAGACCAAGCCAGCAUAUUUUGUUCCUCCUCCGUGCCAGAAGCCCGCCGACGGGUUGGACACCUCGUCUGUUUUCCGCAACCUCAGCUUUACCACCGUCAUGAGGUGCGAGGGGAGGCAGAGAUGCUCGCUGCACCUUCGGAUCAAGACUUCCGUACACCUUACAGAGUCCAUCCAUGGAUUGUCUGUCUGUUUCGAGACGCCGGGACUGCUGCAGAGAUGCCAAGUCAUUAGCAUCUCGAAGGCGUCCAGGCGGAAAAUGGCAGGGAUGGAGGUGGAGGUGGAGAAUGACUGCGUCGACGUUUAUCCCCGGCAGCAACCAAGAGUGACCGUGACCACGUUCCCGAGCUACUGUGGAAUAAGUCGGAGUAGUACCUACAUGGCUCCAGGCUGCUCAUGGAAGGAUUUGAGAAGACACGUUCCCGAAUGCAUCGCCGGCAGGAUAUCGCACGUCGUCAACCUGGAGAGAAAGGAGGUGCGCGUCACCGUGAGCGACGCUCUGCGGGAUCAAGACUACCAAGUGCGACUGUGCCACAAAGAUUUCAUCUGCACCAGCACGGGGGCCGACGCGCUGAUCAAGAAAGAGGAACCCAAAGAGAGUGUCGUUCUCGCCUUCUCCAGACCUUUGCCAUGCCUGUGCAUCGAGGGCUGGCCCGCGGUGAUCGACGCGCCCAGAGUCCAGGUCUGCCCUUUCAAAGACAGCACGGAGGAGAUGUGGCACGGGAUCCAUUUCGAGCCGCUGGCGGAGGCGCUUUCGUGGGAACCCGCCUGCCCGCUCUCGGCCCACGCGGCGCUGUGCCACGGGGAGGAAAACGGUGGCUGCUCGGAUCUGGAGGGAGCCGGGCGAAAUAUCAGCAGGGGAAAGAUAACAUUCGCAAAAGUGGACCCGCACCCUCGACUUUGCAUGAAGUUCACUGUUGGCAACCGGUCUUGGAUCAGGUGCCCUUUUGUCGGGAGAUUCCAAGCAUGGGAUGUGACCUUGACACAACAAGAAGCGAAGUUGACGUCGGACAUCAACGCCACUUUCCACGUUAAUGCGUGCACGCCAUCCCAAGGCUCUGCUGUGUGUCGCACUGCGGGGACACACACUACUGUGCACGUGGUCGGUAUUAAACGGGAGCGCUCGACCGUUGGCUUGACCUUGGCAGACGUUCACACUUGUCUUUAUGUGAGGCGGGUCGAUGUACAGUACGCCGCCACGGUCGUUCGCUGUGUCACCCAGCGACCCAGUCAGGCGUUUCCUCUCGUCGCCACGCAAGCCACUUGGAACUCCAUCCCGCUUAGUCUUUGCCUCUCCGCGGCCGUCCUUGUCGUGGCCUCGGCGUUUCAUGUGAUGUUCACAGUUUAUCAGAGGGGAAAGCCCACGGAGAUCCAGUUCCUUGGAAGAGCCAACAAGCUCUGUGCGUCUCCCUCAGCACGGAAAGUGCCAAGGACAAUUGCUGAAAAUGAUUUUUGAAAUCACCAUAAAUGGCGGCGGAGGCUGGCAGCCGUGUGGCGGAGUGUGGAACUUGGCGCCGGUUGGAGCGCAGCAAUGCCAGGCGGACGAACCUCAAUGUGAGGUGCCAUUGUAAACACGCAGAACAAUCGCACACAUGAAUACACCCUGCAUGUGAGAUCCCCGCAUAAAGAGUGCCAGACAGUGCGAACGUGACUGUCGGGAACAGCGAGUUCAGACUCCUCCGCCACCCCUCCCUUCCUCCAUUCCUCCCUCCGUCUUCGCAUCCUCCAUCCCUUCCCCUUACCUUCUCUCCUCCUUUCUGUCUCUCCGAUGAAUAAUUCAACCUGUGUUGCACUGCAGGUUUUCCCCCCGUUUCUCCGCAUCAUCUUGGAAUCAGACUGCCUUGAUAACAGAUUGCACUCUUGAGCGUGUAAAGUGGGGCUCUUCCACUCUCCAUCAUUUCGCCCUUCUUCUUAUCGGAAGGAGUGAGUCACAUCGAACCGGUCAGUCCGCAACGUGACGACCGCUCCGCGUCCGGGAAGUGCACAUGUGGAGUUUUUCCAAGAACCUGAGAUAAUCCACAGCAACCGCAUCACCUGAAGUGAUGUGUUUUCUGAGUGGGCAGGCAGGGAAUUAUAAUGAAACUGAUUCCAGAACGAUAUCAGGACAUUGUCAGUCUCUGGAGUCUAUAAGACAAUCCUUUUCAAAUAUGUUCCUCACUUAAUGCUGCUGAUUUAUUUGAUGGCUCAACGAUAAUCCUCAUCUCCACCUAACGUGGAUUUAAUAGGGAUAAUAAAUGACAGGCACUGUGUGCAAUACAUCAACAGAAAGAGUCGGCGGUCCUCGUUUUAAACAUACUCUGUGUAUAUUUGAUUUAUAGUGAAUACACCCAAUAACAGGUGUCAAUUCAAGCUGAAAGGUGGCCUUAAGGCAGUGAUUUCCAACCACUGUGCUGCAGGAAAUGAUCUAAUUUCACUUAAUUGGUCUUCAAAGGAUUUUACAAAUAAUGUGCUACCUUGUUGUUGGAGUUUUAAUUUGUUCCACGAGCACUCAUUCCCACUGAAAUGCCAUUAAGCUGUUUCAACCUUGCAAAACAACACCACAUUUGUUUCUGUUGAUAAAGAAAAAUAGCACUGUAUUGU